rnacentral:rRNA from 4 species
GGCAGAUGAUUGGGGUGAAGUCGUAACAAGGUAUCCCUACCGGAAGGUGGGGAUGGAUCACCUCCUUU